rnacentral:rRNA from 1 species
UAAGGAAUAUUGGACAAUGGACGCAAGUCUGAUCCAGCCAUGCCGCGUGAAGGAUGACUGCCCUCUGGGUUGUAAACUUCUUUUAUAGGGGAAGAAAGUUAUUUUUUAGGAUAUUUGACGGUACCCUAUGAAUAAGCACCGGCUAACUCCGUGCCAGCAGCCGCGGUAAUACGGAGGGUGCAAGCGUUAUCCGGAUUCACUGGGUUUAAAGGGUGCGUAGGCGGGUAUGUAAGUCAGUGGUGAAAUACCGGAGCUUAACUUCGGAACUGCCAUUGAUACUAUAUAUCUUGAAUAUUGUGGAGGUAAGCGGAAUAUGUCAUGUAGCGGUGAGAUGCUUAGAGAUGACAUAGAACACCGAUUGCGAAGGCAGCUUGCUACGCAAAUAUUGACGCUGAGGCACGAAAGCGUGGGGAUCAAACAGGAUUAGAUACCCUGGUAGUCCACGCCCUAAACGAUGAUUACUCGACAUUAGCGAUACACAGUUAGUGUCUGAGCGAAAGCAUUAAGUAAUCCACCUGGGAAGUACGACCGCAAGGUUGAAACUCAAAUGAAUUGACGGGGUCAUAGCUG